rnacentral:rRNA from 1 species
UACAGAGGGGGCAAGCGUUGUUCGGAAUUACUGGGCGUAAAGGGCGCGUAGGCGGCCUUCUAAGUCGAACGUGAAAUCCCUGGGCUCAACCCAGGAACUGCGUCCGAUACUGGAAGGCUUGAAUCCGGGAGAGGGAUGCGGAAUUCCAGGUGUAGCGGUGAAAUGCGUAGAUAUCAGGAGGAACACCGGUGGCGAAGGCGACCACCUGGACGGGGAUUGACGCUGAGGCGCGAAAGCGUGGGGAGCAAACAGG